UCCACCGCCAGCCGGGUUCUCCCGCCCCCGCGUUGGCUUGGGAAGCAAGGAAGCGGCGCGGCACAAAACGAGCACGCACGCGACAUCCUUCCCGUCGUCCACACUUCCGUCCCCUCUGAUCUUCUGCGCUCCCUUCCGGGUGGGCUCCAGACCUCCAGUGCUGCUGCUUGGGUGCGCGCCUCCGGCCGGCAACCGCGGCGAUCCGGGAGCUGCAUCGCGACAGCGAGGAUAUUGAUCACCGCCGCCGCAUCAUCCAACAUGAACAGGGGGCACUCAGGGUCCAUGGUCAGCAGCUGCUGCACCUCCGAGCCCACCGAAGAGAAGCACAAGGACCGCCAGACCUCAGCUUCCCGGCGCUGCCCCAGCUGUGGCCACAGCUUCGACAGCAAUCCGGACAUGAUUGGGCUUCCGGCCGGUGUCAAGUUCGAUCCGUCAGAUCAGGAGCUGAUAGAGCACCUGGAGUCCUUGGUGAAGGAAGGAGGCUCCAGAGCUCACCCUCUCAUUGACGACUUUAUACCCACCAUAAAAGGAGAUGAUGGCAUUUGCUACACUCAUCCAGAGAAUCUCCCAGGUGUGACAAGAGACGGCCUCACCAAGCACUUCUUCCACAGGACAUCCAAAGCUUACACCACAGGCACAAGGAAGAGGAGAAAGAUCCAGUCAGAUCGUGGCCUGCACGGCAGUGAAGAUGUCGGCGAGGCGCGGUGGCACAAGACUGGCAAGACGCGUCCAGUGAUCGUGGGCGGCCAGCAGAAGGGGUGCAAAAAGAUCCUGGUGCUGUACGUUAAUUACGGAAAACAAGGCAAGCCGGACAAGACCAACUGGGUGAUGCACCAGUACCACCUCGGCGACCAGGAGGAGAAGGACGGGCAGCUGGUCGUAUCCAAGGUCUUCUACCAGACGCAGCUGCGUUCUGGCACAGCAAUGGUGGAACAGCGCACGAGGGAAGGUGAAAAUGUGGCAGAGGCCUCGGAGGCAAUGCAGAAUGUGCUCCCUGGCUGUGCUGCUGAUGCCACAGCAGCGACGACGGUCGCCAUGGUGCCCCAGCAUCAGCAGAAACGGCAGAGGCAGGCUACUGGUGGCCAUUGCAGCAUUGCUCCUUCGAAGAUGUCUCAUGAGAUUGGUGCAGUAGGCAAUCAGGUAUCACGUGAUCAAGGAGAGAAAAGUGUGACAACCACCACAUACCAUCACAACAGCAUGUCCGAUCAGAUCUGCAUGCAAAACCAGUACCCACCAUGCCUUUCCAUGUCGGUACACCAUCGAACACAGUUUCAACAGCAAUAUAACCUGAAGUGAAACAUACGUCACUCGUCCUGGACAGUAGAAGUAGGUUCUGUUGUCCAGCAAUCCUUCAUCGAAAUGAAAAGAACCAGGAGCAGCAGCAGAAAGUUGGCUGCAGAUCUGCUGAAAUGGAAGAACUGAUAAUUGACUGCCAAUCAGCAAGCACAGAAGCGGGAGCAUCAACUCAGUCCAAGGAGGUGCAACGGCCUUAUCACCUUUACUGGCCUCCUGAUCACAACCAAGAUCAACAUCAAUUACAAUGUAGCUAGUAGCACCAAAUGAAGCUUAUAAUUAGUAUUCAACAACCGUAGCGGCAUCAAACCAAAAUUUCCACCUAUUUCGUGAUCUUGAACAAGUUUUUCUUAGAGCAAUUUUUUAAGGCUAUGGGUAAUAUUAUAGACAUUUCCAAUUGUACUAGUUUAAGCUGUAUAGAUAUGUUAUUGUUUGCGGUAAUGUCUUGUCAUUUAUAAGCAAAGGUAAUAUGGAAGGAACUUAAGUUGACGGGUUA